rnacentral:rRNA from 1 species
CAGCAGCCGCGGUAAUACGAAGGGUGCAAGCGUUAAUCGGAAUUACUGGGCGUAAAGCGUGCGUAGGCGGUUUGUUAAGUCUGUUGUGAAACCCCCGGGCUCAACCUGGGAAUGGCAGUGGAUACUGGCAAGCUAGAGUGUGUCAGAGGAUGGUGGAAUUCCCGGUGUAGCGGUGAAAUGCGUAGAGAUCGGGAGGAACAUCAGUGGCGAAGGCGGCCAUCUGGGACAACACUGACGCUGAGGCACGAAAGCGUGGGGAGCAAACAGGAUUAGAUACCCCUGUAGUCCCUGUCUCUUAUAC